AGCAGCCGCGGUAAUUCCAGCUCCAAUAGCGUAUAUUAAAGUUGUUGCAGUUAAAAAGCUCGUAGUUGAAUCUCGAGAUCAAAUUGUUGGUCGUGCCUCGGUACGUACUGGCAUUAUUGAUUUCUCCCUUCUGAAGAACCUUGAUGUCAUUAAUUUGGUGUCUUGGGGAAUCAGGACCGUUACUUUGAAAAAAUUAGAGUGUUUAAAGCAGGCUCACGCUUGAAUACAUUAGCAUGGAAUAAUGAAAUAGGACGUUUGAUUCUAUUUUGUUGGUUUCUAGGAUCGACGUAAUGAUUAAUAGGGAUAGUUGGGGGCAUUAGUAUUCAAUUGUCAGAGGUGAAAUUCUUGGAUUUAUUGAAGACUAACUACUGCGAAAGCAUUUGCCAAGGAUGUUUUCAUUAAUCAAGAACGAAAGUUAGGGGAUCGAAGACGAUCAGAUACCGUCGUAGUCUUAACCAUAAACUAUGCCGACUAGGGAUCGGAUGAUGUUAAUUUUUAAUGA
rnacentral:rRNA from 1 species